UACGAAGGGGGCUAGCGUUGCUCGGAAUGACUGGGCGUAAAGGGUGCGUAGGCGGGUCUUUAAGUCAGGGGUGAAAUCCUGGGGCUCAACUCCAGAACUGCCUUUGAUACUGAGGAUCUUGAGUUCGGGAGAGGUGAGUGGAACUGCGAGUGUAGAGGUGAAAUUCGUAGAUAUUCGCAAGAACACCAGUGGCGAAGGCGGCUCACUGGCCCGAUACUGACGCUGAGGCACGAAAGCGUGGGGAGCAAACAGG
rnacentral:rRNA from 1 species